UUUAUUGAGAGUUUGAUCCUAGCUCAGGGUGAACGCUGGCGGCGUGCUUAAGGCAUGCAAGUCGAACGAAUUAUUUUUUAGUAGCAAUACUGAUAACUGAUUAGUGGCAAACGGGUGCGUAACACAUUGGUAACCUGCCUUGAAGACGGGCAUAACUCCUCGAAAGAGGAGCUAAUUCCCGAUGGACACGAGGGGACGCGAGUCAUUCUCGUGUAAAAGUCCAAAAGACGCUUCAAGAGGGGCCUAUGGUCUAUCAGCUUGUUGGUGGGGUAACGGCCUACCAAGGCUAUGACGGAUAGCGGGUCUGAGAGGACGGCCCGCCUCAGUGGAACUGCGACACUGUCCACACUCCUACGGGAGGCUGCAGUCAGGAAUAUUGGGCAAUGGGCGAAAGCCUGACCCAGCGACGCCGCGUGCAGGAAGA
rnacentral:rRNA from 1 species